CAUUAUCUCCUUAUUUACACAGAAACUGUAGUGUGAGGAAAAAAGUACACCCAUUUAUGAAUGUCACAUGACCAAAAAACAUGAUCUGAUGACAUCUGUAACGCCAUCUCCAAUUAUCUACUCUCCAGUCUCUUCACCUCCUCAAGUACGUCUUCAAAUGUGUGUACGUCUGAGAGUGUUUCACCUUGUGUUGCAGCAGUCAUUGAUCGGGCUGGAGCUGUCAAUCGAUCAGUCUGGUCUGCGUGUGGAGAUAAAGGUGUUUUCAUCUCUGGACACUGCAGUUGCCAGAGGUACUCUGGAGAGACACCCCCCACCCCCACCCCACUACCACCACCACCACCACGCUGACAGCAAGAAGAAACACAAAGUUUCCAUCUGAACGUCUCCCUUUACAGCCACCUAAAUCUCUGGACACAACACGUCUCCUUUCAUCAAAGAGAGAAAUUGGACUGGUUUGAAUUGGCUGCAUGUUUAUGCUAAAUGGGAGAGGAAAAAAAAAAAUCUGAGUGAUUCCCUCACUGACAGCUCAAGAUGAGAACAAGAGAGACGGAAGACACAAUAAACAGGUGCAACAUCAGAUAUGAAGAAGCAAAAAACAGGAAACGAAAAACAAAGAACAUCCAACCCUUGUGUAAGCUGGUGCAAGAGUGAAAAAUCAGAUGGAAACUUGGGAGGGAAUGACAAAACAGAUGCAGAUUAGUGAGGGGGGAUGAAAGAGUGCGAGCUGUCCCGCUGUGUUACAGGUGUACGUGCAGCACGGAGAUGGAGAAACGAAGAGAGAGGAAUAAUUAGUCCCCCCGUCCCCUGGCAGAGGAGCGCAGCAGGUGAAAGGACGAAUAAAAGGGGGGAAAAACAGGGGAGAGAUGGAGAGAUGGAAAGCGAGGAGUGUUGGAAGCAAGGACACGGUGACAUUGUAGGCAAAAAAGAAAGGUUCAAGAAUGACUAAAUGGAUGGCGGGCUCAGCGUGAGAGACGAAGAGAAGAAAGGAGAGGAGGGCAGCCUGGAGGACAGAGGUUUAAAAAUGAGGAGGAGGAGCAGAAAACAUCCUUUGUCAUCUCUUCUCAACAACAAGAGUGAAAAGGAAAGAUGCUUUUACCGGCACCUCUCGGCUAACAAUAGCACCAUGCCUCCUAAUCAGAGUGG